GGCCUUAUCGAUACUGGUAAAACUGGGUAAAACGAGGAAAAAGAGACUCAUAAUCCUUUGGUCCACGGUUCAAGUCCGUGUGGGCCCACCA
rnacentral:tRNA from 1 species